GAUGAACGCUGGCGGCGUGCCUAACACAUGCAAGUCGAACGGAGAUGCGAUGUGAGCGAGAGGUGCUUGCACUGAUUAAUCUUUUCGUAUCUUAGUGGCGGACGGGUGAGUAACGCGUGGGUAACCUGCCCCAGACCGGGGGAUAACAGUCGGAAACGACUGCUAAUACCGCAUAAGCGCACAGUGCCGCAUGGCACAGUGUGAAAAACUCCGGUGGUCUGGGAUGGACCCGCGUCCGAUUAGUUAGUUGGCGGGGUAACGGCCCACCAAGACCGCGAUCGGUAGCCGACCUGAGAGGGUGACCGGCCACAUUGGGACUGAGAUACGGCCCAGACUCCUACGGGAGGCAGCAGUGGGGAAUAUUGGGCAAUGGGCGCAAGCCUGACCCAGCAACGCCGCGUGAAGGAAGAAAGGCCUUCGGUUGUAAACGUGCUUUGUUCUAGGGACGGAAAAGGACGAGAGUGC
rnacentral:rRNA from 1 species